rnacentral:rRNA from 1 species
UGUCCAGACUCCUACGGGAGGCAGCAGUGGGGAAUAUUGGGCAAUGGAGGCAACUCUUACCCAGCAAUGCCGCGUGAAUGAAGAAGGUCUUCGGAUUGUAAAGUUCUUUAAUUGGGGACGAAAAAAAUGACGGUACCCAAGGAAUAAGCCCCGGCUAACUACGUGCCAGCAGCCGCGGUAAUACGUAGGGGGCUAGCGUUAUCCGGAAUUACUGGGCGUAAAGGGUGCGUAGGUGGUUUCUUAAGUCAGAGGUGAAAGGCUACGGCUCAACCGUAGUAAGCCUUUGAAACUGGGGAACUUGAGUGCAGGAGAGGAGAGUGGAAUUCCUAGUGUAGCGGUGAAAUGCGUAGAUAUUAGGAGGAACACCAGUUGCGAAGGCGGCUCUCUGGACUGUAACUGACACUGAGGCACGAAAGCGUGGGGAGCAAACAGGAUUAGAUACCCCAGUAC